GGGGGUAAGGCCUACCAAGACAAUGAUGCAUAGCCGAGUUGAGAGACUGAUCGGCCACAUUGGGACUGAGACACGGCCCAAACUCCUACGGGAGGCUGCAGUAGGGAAUCUUCCACAAUGGGCGAAAGCCUGAUGGAGCAACGCCGCGUGUGUGAUGAAGGCUUUCGGGUCGUAAAGCACUGUUGUAUGGGAAGAAAAGUUAAGGUAGGGAAUGACCUUAGCCUGACGGUACCAUACCAGAAAGGGACGGCUAAAUACGUGCCAGCAGCCGCGGUAAUACGUAUGUCCCGAGCGUUAUCCGGAUUUAUUGGGCGUAAAGCGAGCGCAGACGGUUGGUUAAGUCUGAUGUGAAAGCCCGGAGCUCAACUCCGGAAAGGCAUUGGAAACUGGUUAACUUGAGUGCAGUAGAGGUAAGUGGAACUCCAUGUGUAGCGGUGGAAUGCGUAGAUAUAUGGAAGAACACCAGCGGCGAAGGCGGCUUACUGGACUGUAACUGACGUUGAGGCUCGAAAGUGUGGGUAGCAAACAGGAUUAGAUACCCUGGUAGUCCACACCGUAAACGAUGAACACUAGGUGUUAGGAGGUUUCCGCCUCUUAGUGCCGAAGCUAACGCAUUAAGUGUUCCGCCUGGGGAGUACGACCGCAAGGUUGAAACUCAAAGGAAUUGACGGGGACCCGCACAAGCGGUGGAGCAUGUGGUUUAAUUCGAAGCAACGCGAAGAACCUUACCAGGUCUUGACAUCCUUUGAAGCUUUUAGAAAUAGAAGUGUUCUCUUCGGAGACAAAGUGACAGGUGGUGCAUGGUCGUCGUCAGCUCGUGUCGUGAGAUGUUGGGUUAAGUCCCGCAACGAGCGCAACCCUUAUUGUUAGUUGCCAGCAUUCAGAUGGGCACUCUAGCGAGACUGCCGGUGACAAACCGGAGGAAGGCGGGGACGACGUCAGAUCAUCAUGCCCCUUAUGACCUGGGCUACACACGUGCUACAAUGGCGUAUACAACGAGUUGCCAACCUGCGAAGGUGAGCUAAUCUCUUAAAGUACGUCUCAGUUCGGACUGCAGUCUGCAACUCGACUGCACGAAGUCGGAAUCGCUAGUAAUCGCGGAUCAGCACGCCGCGGUGAAUACGUUCCCGGGUCUUGUACACACCGCCCGUCACACCAUGGAAGUUUGUAAUGCCCAAAGCCGGUGGCCUAACCGUAAGGAGGAACC
rnacentral:rRNA from 1 species